rnacentral:rRNA from 1 species
UACGUAGGGUGCAAGCGUUGUCCGGAAUUAUUGGGCGUAAAGAGCUCGUAGGCGGUUUGUCGCGUCGGCUGUGAAAACCUGGGGCUCAACCCCGGGCCUGCAGCCGAUACGGGCAAACUAGAGUUCGGCAGGGGAGAACGGAAUUCCUGGUGUAGCAGUGAAAUGCGUAGAUAUCAGGAGGAACACCGAUGGCGAAGGCAGGUCUCUGGGCUGACACUGACGCUCAUGCACGAAAGCGUGGGGAGCAAACAGG